AGCGUUAACGAACGAGACCUUAACCUGCUAAAUAGUUAGGCCAACGUUUGUUGGUCGUCAACUUCUUAGAGGGACUAUUGACUAUUAGUCAAUGGAAGUUUGAGGCAAUAACAGGUCUGUGAUGCCCUUAGAUGUUCUGGGCUGCACGCGCGCUACACUGAUGGUUGCAUCGAGCUUACAACCUUGAUUGAGAAAUCUGGGUAAUCUUUUUAACGACCAUCGUGCUGGGGAUAGAUUAUUGUAAUUAUUAAUCUUCAACGAGGAAUUCCUAGUAAACGCAAGUCAUCAACUUGCAUUGAUUACGUCCCUGCCCUUUGUACACACCGCCCGUCGCUAAUACCGAUUGAAUGGUUC
rnacentral:rRNA from 1 species